AAACCAACAGGGAUUGCCCUAGUAACGGCGAGUGAAGCGGCAACAGCUCAAAUUUGAAAUCUGGCUUCGGCCCGAGUUGUAAUUUGCAGAGGAUGCUUCUGGCGCGGUGCCUUCCGAGUUCCCUGGAACGGGACGCCACAGAGGGUGAGAGCCCCGUAUGGUCGGACACCAAGCCUGUGUGAAGCUCCUUCGACGAGUCGAGUAGUUUGGGAAUGCUGCUCUAAAUGGGAGGUAAAUCUCUUCUAAAGCUAAAUACCGGCCAGAGACCGAUAGCGCACAAGUAGAGUGAUCGAAAGAUGAAAAGCACCUUGAAAAGGGGGCUAAAUAGUACGUGAAAUUGUUGAAAGGGAAGCACUUGUGACCAGACUUGGGCCGGGCGGCUCAUCAGGGGUUCUCCCCUGUGCACUCCGCCCGGCACAGGCCAGCAUCGGUUCUCGUGGGGGGAUAAGACCGUUAGGAACGUAGCACCCUCCGGGGUGUGUUAUAGCCUGGCGGACGAUACCCCCGUGGGGACCGAGGUUCGCGCUCCGCAAGGAUGCUGGCGUAAUGGUCACCAGUGAC
rnacentral:rRNA from 1 species